CCUACGGGAGGCAGCAGUAGGGAAUCUUCCGCAAUGGACGCAAGUCUGACGGAGCAACGCCGCGUGAGUGAAGAAGGUUUUCGGAUCGUAAAACUCUGUUGUUAGAGAAGAACAAGUGCUAGAGUAACUGUUAGCGCCUUGACGGUAUCUAACCAGAAAGCCACGGCUAACUACGUGCCAGCAGCCGCGGUAAUACGUAGGUGGCAAGCGUUGUCCGGAUUUAUUGGGCGUAAAGCGAGCGCAGGCGGUUCCUUAAGUCUGAUGUGAAAGCCCCCGGCUCAACCGGGGAGGGUCAUUGGAAACUGGGGAACUUGAGUGCAGAAGAGGAGAGUGGAAUUCCAUGUGUAGCGGUGAAAUGCGUAGAUAUAUGGAGGAACACCAGUGGCGAAGGCGACUCUCUGGUCUGUAACUGACGCUGAGGCUC
rnacentral:rRNA from 1 species